AUGGCUGUGACUGAAGGCUGCUGGGUGAGGAGGAGACUGAAACCCCUGGUGCGGAGAGAAGGGCUGAAGGGCACCGGCUGCCAGCUGUGGGACCAGUUCAGGCAGACUCAUGUAUUCCUUCAGCCACUUGCUUGCCCACCUGAGCUUUACACUGCUGGGAGGAGAACUGUUUGAAGCUAAUUAAAUGCUGAGAUCGUGUGCUUGAUGCCUCGCUAUCCUUAACGUGGUCAUGACUGAAUACUGUAAUUAAUUUCUUUUUAUCCUAAAGGAAAAAACAGGAGUAAUUUAAGUUAUGUAAAUCAGUGGUUGAUAACUAUGGUAUUCUCCAGUGUGGAUCUCAUUACCUACCCACACAUGAAACUAGAUGCAGUAAUUGACAGAAGUUAUCUUUGGGCCUCUGUGCACUGACAACACAGAUUAGUUUUUAUGACAGAGUUACUUCUCAUUCCAUGUUCAUCCGUCCAGAUAGUCCCUGGUACUAGAAUAGCAUUCAUGCCCUACAAUCUCAGUGUUUCUAUUAAUAUAAUUUGUCCAAAGUCCAGUGACUUUCAGGGCCUUUAAAUCUACCUUGAAUUAUGUCUUACCUUAGUGAAAGGAUAAUGUGUGGUUGUUAAAGUGAAAGACUUUACUGAAGUUCAGUAUCAAAGGUGUUAUUCUUCUAAACAGUUAUAAAAAUGUUCUUGAAGCUCAUGUUGUAAUAAAAUGUGGAUUACUGACUCCUAUUUGUCUGUG
rnacentral:lncRNA from 1 species